GCCCAGGUGGCGGAAUUGGUAGACGCGCUGGUCUCAAACACCAGUGGGGCAACCCGUGCCGGUUCGAUCCCGGCCCUGGGUACUA
rnacentral:tRNA from 2 species